UCGAUUCCCUUAGUAGCGGCGAGCGAAACGGGAAGAGCCCAAACCAACAAGCUUGCUUGUUGGGGUUGUAGGACACUCUAUACGGAGUUACAAAGGACGACAUUAGACGAAUCAUCUGGAAAGAUGAAUCAAAGAAGGUAAUAAUCCUGUAGUCGAAAAUGUUGUCUCUCUUGAGUGGAUCCUGAGUACGACGGAGCACGUGAAAUUCCGUCGGAAUCUGGGAGGACCAUCUCCUAAGGCUAAAUACUCUCUAGUGACCGAUAGUGAACCAGUACCGUG
rnacentral:rRNA from 1 species